GGGGGGGGGGGGGGGGGGGGGGGGGGCGGGGGGGGCGGGGGGGCUGGGGGGGGGGUUGCUCGUGGGCGGGCAGCGGCGGACGGGUGGGUAACACGUGGGCCACCGGCCCGCAAGACCGGGAUAACUCCGGGAAACCGGAGCUAAUACCGGAUAACACCGACGAACGCAUGGUCUUUGGUUGAAAGGCGGCGCAAGCUGCCACUUGCGGCUGGGCCCGCGGCGCCUUAGCUAGUUGGUGAGGUAACGGCUCACCAAGGCGACGAUGCGGAGCCGGCCUGAGAGGGUGACCGGCCACAAUGGGACUGAGACACGGCCCAGAAGCCUACGGGAGGCAGCAGUAGGGCAUCUUCCGCAAUGGGCGAAAGCCUGACGGAGCGACGCCGCGUGAGCGAAGAAGGCCUUCGGGUCGUAAAGCUCUGUUGUGAGGGACGAAGGAGCGCCGUUUGAAGAAGGCGGCGCGGUGACGGUACCUCACGAGGAAGCCCCGGCUAACUACGUG
rnacentral:rRNA from 1 species